AUGGAUCCACUUCUCUUGGCAAAUAUCUGUCGACGACAACCCACAACAUAUCUCGGUCCAUUUGUAACUUUAACAAUGAAUUUUUCUUCAGUUAACUGCUUAAGUACUUCACCCACAAUCUGCCCAACACUUUGUAGAGCCUUCAGAUCAUUUUCAGACUUUUCAUACUGCUUGGUAAGUUCUUUUAAUUGUUCCCUUAACUCCUUGAGACGGCCGUCAAUCUCUUUGUUCUCCAGCAGUUUCUUGCGGUAGUCCUGAAGCGCCUUAUCUCUAGGGUCCGCCAUGAUGAGAAGCCGUCGCUCAUAGGGGAUGCCGGGAAUGGCCAUGGCCGCCCGGGCGGGGGAAGGGGCGGGGCCUCCCUUUGACCUUUUUACUCUUCUCCGCCCUGCUC
rnacentral:lncRNA from 1 species